rnacentral:rRNA from 1 species
UACGUAGGGCGCAAGCGUUGUCCGGAAUUAUUGGGCGUAAAGAGCUCGUAGGUGGCUUGUCACGUCGGGUGUGAAAGCUUGGGGCUUAACUCCAGGUCUGCAUUCGAUACGGGCUGGCUAGAGGUAGGUAGGGGAGAACGGAAUUCCUGGUGUAGCGGUGAAAUGCGCAGAUAUCAGGAGGAACACCGAUGGCGAAGGCAGGUCUCUGGGCAUUAACUGACGCUGAGGAGCGAAAGCAUGGGGAGCGAACAGG